UACGGGGGGAGCAAGCGUUGUUCGGAUUUACUGGGCGUAAAGGCGCGUAGGCGGCAUGACAAGUCACUUGUGAAAUCUCCGGGCUUAACUCGGAACGGCCAAGUGAAACUGUCAAGCUAGAGUGCAGAAGGGGCAAUCGGAAUUCUUGGUGUAGCGGUGAAAUGCGUAGAUAUCAAGAGGAACACCUGAGGUGAAGACGGGUUGCUGGGCUGACACUGACGCUGAGGCGCGAAAGCCAGGGGAGCAAACGGG
rnacentral:rRNA from 1 species